rnacentral:rRNA from 1 species
UACGAAGGGGGCUAGCGUUGCUCGGAAUUACUGGGCGUAAAGGGCGCGUAGGCGGCUCUGUUAGUCAGGCGUGAAAUUCCUGGGCUCAACCUGGGGACUGCGCUUGAUACGGCAGAGCUUGAGGAUGGAAGAGGGUCGCGGAAUUCCCAGUGUAGAGGUGAAAUUCGUAGAUAUUGGGAAGAACACCGGUGGCGAAGGCGGCGACCUGGUCCAUUACUGACGCUGAGGCGCGACAGCGUGGGGAGCAAAAAGG